GACAGAGGGUGCAAACGUUGUUCGGAAUUACUGGGCGCAAAGCGCGUGUAGGCGGCUUUGCAAGUCGGGCGUGAAAUCCCACGGCUCAACCGUGGAAGUGCACUCGAAACUGCAGAGCUAGAGUCCUGGAGAGGAAGGUGGGAUGCUUGGUGUAGAGGUGAAAUUCGUAGAUAUCAAGCGGAACACCGGUGGCGAAGGCGGCCUUCUGGACAGUGACUGACGCUGAGACGCGAAAGCGUGGGGAGCAAACAGG
rnacentral:rRNA from 1 species